rnacentral:rRNA from 1 species
AGUGAACGCUGGCGGUAGGCCUAACACAUGCAAGUCGAACGGCAGCACAGUAAGAGCUUGCUCUUACGGGUGGCGAGUGGCGGACGGGUGAGGAAUACAUCGGAAUCUACUUUUUCGUGGGGGAUAACGUAGGGAAACUUACGCUAAUACCGCAUACGACCUACGGGUGAAAGCAGUGGAUCUUCGGACCUUGCGCGAUUGAAUGAGCCGAUGUCGGAUUAGCUAGUUGGCGGGGUAAAGGCCCACCAAGGCGACGAUCCGUAGCUGGUCUGAGAGGAUGAUCAGCCACACUGGAACUGAGACACGGUCCAGACUCCUACGGGAGGCAGCAGUGGGGAAUAUUGGACAAUGGGCGCAAGCCUGAUCCAGCCAUACCGCGUGGGUGAAGAAGGCCUUCGGGUUGUAAAGCCCUUUUGUUGGGAAAGAAAAGCAGCAGGUUAAUACCCCGCUGUUCUGACGGUACCCAAAGAAUAAGCACCGGCUAACCUCGUG